rnacentral:rRNA from 1 species
GAUGAACGCUGGCGGCGUGCCUAAUACAUGCCAGUCGAGCGAACAGACGAGGAGCUUGCUCCUCUGACGUUAGCGGCGGACGGGUGAGUAACACGUGGAUAACCUACCUAUAAGACUGGGAUAACUUCGGGAAACCGGAGCUAAUACCGGAUAAUAUAUUGAACCGCAUGGUUCAAUAGUAAAAGACGGUUUUGCUGUCACUUAUAGAUGGAUCCGCGCCGCAUUAGCUAGUUGGUAAGGUAACGGCUUACCAAGGCAACGAUGCGUAGCCGACCUGAGAGGGUGAUCGGCCACACUGGAACUGAGACACGGUCCAGACUCCUACGGGAGGCAGCAGUAGGGAAUCUUCCGCAAUGGGCGAAAGCCUGACGGAGCAACGCCGCGUGAGUGAUGAAGGUCUUCGGAUCGUAAAACUCUGUUAUUAGGGAAGAACAAAUGUGUAAGUAACUAUGCACGUCUUGACGGUACCUAAUCAGAAAGCCACGGCUAACUACGUG